UGCAGUCGAGGGGUAACAGGGAGAAGCUUGCUUUUCUGCUGACGACCGGCGAACGGGUGCGUAACGCGUAUAGAAUCUGCCUUGUACAGGAGGAUAGCCUUUAGAAAUGAAGAUUAAUACUCCAUAAAUUUAAGAGAUGGCAUCAUUUUUUAAUUAAAGAUUUAUCGGUACGAGAUGACUAUGCGUCCUAUUAGCUAGAUGGUAAGGUAACGGCUUACCAUGGCAACGAUAGGUAGGGGGUCUGAGAGGAUUAUCCCCCACACUGGUACUGAGACACGGACCAGACUCCUACGGGAGGCAGCAGUGAGGAAUAUUGGUCAAUGGAGGCAACUCUGAACCAGCCAUGCCGCGUGCAGGAAGACUGCCCUAUGGGUUGUAAACUGCUUUUAUACAGGAAGAAACUUGGUUACGUGUAACCAACUGACGGUACUGUAAGAAUAAGCACCGGCUAACUCCGUGCCAGCAGCCGCGGUAAUACGGAGGGUGCAAGCGUUAUCCGGAAUCAUUGGGUUUAAAGGGUCCGCAGGCGGUCAAUUAAGUCAGAGGUGAAAUCCCAUAGCUUAACUAUGGAACUGCCUUUGAUACUGGUUGACUUGAGUUAUACGGAAGUAGAUAGAAUAAGUAGUGUAGCGGUGAAAUGCAUAGAUAUUACUUAGAAUACCGAUUGCGAAGGCAGUCUACUACGUAUAUACUGACGCUCA
rnacentral:rRNA from 1 species